CCUUGUCUCUAUACGGCAAUGAAGGCCAAGAAUCGUCAUUGUGAUUGACGCACCUCUCUCAUGUUUGCCUUCAGAGACACGGCACAAUCCACCGCCAAAAGAAAAGAGAGAGUUUUAAAGCUUCUUGCCAUCAUUUUUUGCCCUAAGAGACAAAGAUGUUGCAGAAACCACCAAACUACUUCUUUUUAUUUUCUAAAUUUGGAGGGUCCCUUGACCACAAAGUAUAAAUCCGAAAAUGAAACAGCAUUAAAAGCGUAAAAAGAGCAAACCUUGUAAUCUAGCAAUCAGCCUCUUGUUCAGUUUCACGUGGUUUCUUCAUAAUUAAGCCGUAAGCAUGACGAACAUAACAAUGAAUUGCAGCACUUUUCUUUCUAUACUGACUACUGAGUACGUUAUUUUUUGUAUGUAUAUAUGUACUAAUGUACACAUCUCUGAUGAAAACCUGAAUACGCUAGAUUAUCAUUUUACUUAGAUUAAUUAGCAUCGUCUUCUUAAACAUGAUAUUAACAAAAGAUAUAUAUAGUACGACACUCAAAUGAUAUUUAUCUUUUUAUUAUUAGUUAGACAUAGAGUUAAAAAGUAUAACAUUGAAUUUAACGGUAUAGACACUCAAAGCAAAAAAUUCUGAUGGAACAUGUAAAGUAGGAUUCUCUUUACUAUACACUCAGAGCUCGAAUCACUAAUCUUAACCAUGAUUUGU
rnacentral:lncRNA from 1 species